AAUCAACGCUGGCGGCGUGCCUCAGACAUGCAAGUCGAACGAUUAAACUUUCCUUCGGGAAAGAUAUAAAGUGGCGCACGGGUGAGUAACACGUAGGUAAUGUACCUUUGGGUGGGGAAUAACCAUCGGAAACGAUGGCUAAUACCGCAUAAUGCAGCGGCAUCGCAAGAUGACAGUUGUUAAAGAUUUAUCGCCUAAAGAGCAGCCUGCGGCAGAUUAGGUAGNGGUAAGGUAAUGGCUUACCAAGCCUGCGAUCUGUAACCGACCUGAGAGGGUGGUCGGUCACACUGACACUGAAUAACGGGUCAGACUCCUACGGGAGGCAGCAGUCGGGAAUUUGGGCAAUGGGCGAAAGCCUGACCCAGCAACGCCGCGUGAAGGACGAAGUCUUUC
rnacentral:rRNA from 1 species